rnacentral:ncRNA from 2 species
GACGACUGUGGAGGCGCUGAUCCGGGGGGAGUGAACUGGUCGCUGGCUGGCCGAAAAGGCAGCCGCACCCCGGGGAGCCAAUAGCGAAACCGGCCACAUGGC